CACACCACCAAACCAAUACCCGAUCCACCAUCUACCACCAUUAUCUUCCAACCUGAACCCACCUCCGAUACACCAAUAAACACCGUCACACUGGCAACUACCUCCAUCUGCUUUCUUCCAAUCUGCAAAUUCUAAAGCAUACAAAAACACUCCCAGCAAACUUCAUCUCUAUGUGCACAAUCCACACACAUAACUUCAAUUUCCUCAAUCUUGUCCUCUAUCCUCUUUGUUCUUUCAAUUCGCAUGCAAAUGACACUUGUUUCAGUUCAAAAUUGAACAACUAGGGCAGAAUAUGAAUAAUUAACGGUUAUUACGACCUCGAUCGAUUGGUUGAUUUUGGUUCAAGAAUUGGGGCUGUAGACUGUAGUAAUUCAAUAUAUUGCAUAUUGCUUGAAGGAAGAGGGAAGAAAUAGAGUGAAAAGACUAAUACUGAUUGUUAACAGGAAACUUGAAUUCAUUUUGUGAAUGCUCAAUGAUAUGUAGUUUAAGGUGUAGCUUAGAUGAAUCAGGAGAUGAUCACACUUGUCUAUUCAUUGCUUCAGUAUGUAUUAUGCAGUAUUGCAAUUGUUAGGGUUUAUGCAAUUAUGUGUCUGUCUAUAAGACUUCAAUAUCUGCUGCUAAUUCUGAGCUAAGCAUGUGAAAGUUCGAAUUCGUGUUAAUGUCUUUUCCAUCAUUUACCAAUAGCAAGAUAUCCUUCAUUUUAGUAUUCCACAUGAAGUGCAGGGCAUAUUAUGGCAACAAAAUCUAUGUUGAUUACUUUUUGGUGAGGAGUAUUGAAGAGGGGUUUGAAGGCUCAUGGCAUUCAGCAACGGUGAAGAGGGGCUAUACGGUUUUACAAUGGCUGCAGAUUACUGAUCUACACAUGUUCUUUCUGUUAUCAAAUCUACACGGUUUUACAAUGGCUGCAGACAAAUCUGGUGGUCACCUUCUGUGACGUUUAAAUGGCUGAAGUUCUACUUGCUGCAUUUCAGUUUGUGAUCUUGAGUUAAUUUGAGGUGUAGUAAAUUGAAUUUGGCAUUUUUUUCUUGUUUUUGGUGUAAAACCAUUACAAUGGUAAUUAACAGUAAUUUGAGGUGUAAUAAUUCUUAUGAAGAUUA